AUAGGGAAGUCCGACGACCACCAUGCCGUGAUGCAUCAUCGUGGGAAUGAGGCCGAGAAUCGUUGAU
rnacentral:sRNA from 1 species